UCACAACAGGCAGAGAUCCUUCCGUGUUAGAUAUAGAUCCGGGUCGAUAAAGACCCGAAUAUGUAAGAAUGAUUGGCGAAACAGUCAUGCAUUUAAGGGUUAAAGAUGGCAACGUCUAUAAAACUGAAAAGCAGUAUUGCCAAGUCUGUGGUUUUCCCACAGAAUCGGGCUACUUUUACACAAUUGCCGCGGGUUGUUUUUCCAUGUCCGCGGGUUGAAGCGAACCCACGUAACAUGAUAUUUAGCAUCUAGAAUGCAAAUUUUACUAGAGGAACCCUGCCAAAAACCUGAGUUUUCCCCCCAGAAUGUGAUUUUUAUUGGGGCAGCCCCCCUGAAACGCGAUUGGGCUAGUUUUGAGUAGCAAUUGGGCAGGUUUUGUUGUGAAAACCUGGCAACCCUGCUGAAAAGCCUCAUCACUUUUGACAUGACAAGAGACCAAUUGCACUAACUGGAGUCUUUAACCAUUGCACUCGCGUGCACGUCCUUUGUGACGUCUCGCACAUGACACAGCAUUUUAAUUUCGAAAAGAAACACAAAACUGACGGGAGCCGCUCCGAUGGAGAACAGUGACUGGCUCUACACCUUAAGAUCAGUGUUGCCAACUGCUUUCAAUUGAAAGUAGCUAAAACUGAUAGCUAAAUGUCACUAGAUGACAUCAUAAUGGCAAAUUCAUUGAUCUAUAAAAAUAUGAAUAGAGAUCAGUGGGCAAAAUAAGAAUCUAGAUAAGGUUUGUCCAAGGCGUUACUAGAUUUGUCCCUAAACCUUUGAAAAAAGUCUCAAAAGGGGCGUUGAAGUCACUAAAUCUAGUGACAAAAUCUAUAAACUGGCAACACUGCUUAAGAUGACGCACGCAGAACCACACACAAAACACCUUAGAAGAGUGGCUCUCUCGCACUGUAUGACGCGACAAACAACUAGUUGUCCAGUGCGGUUCCGUACACACAGCGUGGAAUUUCUGAGAAUGCGGUUGUGAGUCCUGAAAAUUUAAUGUCACGGGCGAGUACUGAGUAAAAUAACCAUACUGCUGUUUUGUACACUGUAUUGGAUUAUAAGAUAAUAAACAGGUAUGAUUUUUAAACAGCUUAAUCUCAGGUCAAUAUAUCUUGUCCCAAUAAUUAUUUAUGUGGUGUCCUUAAAUGUUCUUCUAGCUUGAACGUCUUAGCUAAAAGCCGCUUGCCAAAUUUUAGUAAAAGUUAAGUUUUUUUUUUUUUUUUUUUGCAGAAGCUUUGAAUUAUUCAAGCUAAUAAAAUAUUUCAACAAAAGUCAAUAAUUUGGCACACUUAUCUGGAAACACUUCAGGAUUUUCGAAGUCGUCAUCUGGUUGGUUGAAUUCUACAGGAUGUUCGGGAGACGUGUGUGUCGCGUUCUUUAACGGUCCGCAUGGAAACAAAUGCUGACACCAAACCCCCUUGUGAAAGAAGAAAGCCAUCGUUUUUACAGUGACACUGAGCGCUUACCAGGAUCAACUAAACGCUGGAUUUUCAAAAGUAUCUGAAGUUUGCGGCUCCAUUGAUGCAGUAAACUAGCACAACAUUUUUUAAUUAAUAAUUUAUUAGACGCACGCCGGUCUGUUAUUGUAAGGACAUCGACUUUACAUUUUCACACCCCUAAACAUGAUGCAGAGCAAAACGAACUGUGAUUGGUUGCGUUACAUGUCAGUCAAACGUCCUCUUGGGUGGUCCUUGGCAAAUGAAAGCUGCGAUAGAGUCCAGUCCAGACCUUCUGCCGUCGGUCUGAAGCUCUGGCCACGUGAGACUAUUGAUAACAGGCUGUACACCGUCUUUGAUGAUAUACAUGAUUACUGGAGACACAACAUAAACAACAAAAAAAGAUCCAUCAGUGUGGAAAGGUUCAAAGGUUCCAGAACAAACUUAGAGCGUCAUUUAUGUGUUAAACACAAGGCUGAUCGCUCCUUCAAGAUUGACUGAUCAUGUUUGAACAAAGAAGAUCAAACAACUUCUCUCAUCCACUGAUGUGAGUUACAGUACUGCAGUUUCUCACAGGAGCAGAAGCGACGCAAUCAUGAGGUAAAUCUCCGCUCACCGCUUUUCCUCCAGGGGGAAAGAUGUGCAACCCUGGGAUCUUGACAACAGUUGUUUUCCUCAACCUUGCAGAAUGCUUUAAUGCCUUUUUGCAUUUUCAGUCAUGUGAAAAUCCACCCGAUCUAACAUCAAGCCCCCGUCUUUGCCACUUUCUUGUGUUUUGUUAUUCCACUGCCCUAUUCCCUUUGCCAGUGUUACAGCACGCUUUGUUAACUUUAUUAAAGAGAACGCUGUCUUGUG